rnacentral:rRNA from 1 species
AUGAUCUCACUUGACCGUAAUAUAGAUUUAUGCGGUGAUUCAAAUGACUUACCUCCAUGUGAAACACACCAAAGCAGAAAACAUCAAAGUAUGAUAAUUCUUGCUUUUCUCGCACCAUUUUCUUUCGCUUGCCUCUCAAAAGCAAUCAUCACGGUGGUUUGUCGGAGAAGAAAGUAUGUAAAAAGCACAAGAAAAAGCAAGUCUGGUGAUAUACUGUCUAUAUGGAAUUUUGAUGGGAAGAUUGCAUUUGAAGACAUACUCAAUGCAACAGAAAAUUUUGAUGAGAAAUAUUGCAUUGGCGUUGGAGGCUAUGGAUCAGUCUAUAAAGUUGAGCUUGAAGCGGGGACUAUCUUUGCUGUCAAGCUCCUCCACACAAUGGAAGAGUACAACGACGAGGCAACAUUUCACGCUGAGAUUGAAGUACUGACGAAAAUCAGGCACCGAUGCAUCGUCAAGCUUUUUGGCUUUUGUUCCCAUUCCCAGUGCAAAUUCCUCGUGUACGAUCUUAUCGAGAGGGGGAGUUUAUCUUCCAUUUUGCAUGAGAAAGAACUUUCAAAGGACCUGGAUUGGCCCAAGAGAGUUGCUGUCAUCACAGACGUAGCUCAAGCUCUCUCCUAUUUGCACCAUGAUUGCGAUGAUCCUAUUGUACACCGGGACAUAAAAAGCAGCAAUAUUCUUCUAGACCUCAAUUUUAAAGCUUACGUCUCAGACUUUGGUAUGGCAAGAAAGCUAAAAGCUGGUUACUCAAGCUGGAGCACUAUUUUUGCAGGCACAUGUGGCUACAUAGCCCCUGAGCUGUCAUCUACCAUGGUGUUGACUGAGAAGUGCGAUGUGUACAGCUUCGGCGUGGUUGUGCUGGAAGUUCUGAUGGGAAAGCACCCAGGUGAUCUGCUCCUUCCGUUCUUUUGCCUAAUGCAGCAGCCGGGGAAGUUCAAUGAUAUCCUGGAUCGACGCAUCACAGCACCGUCAAACAUUGACGAGGAGAAGGAUAUUAUUUUGGUUGCCUUGGUGGCCUUUGCUUGCCUGCAAGUCAAUCCCAAAGCCCGGCCAACGAUGCAGCAGGUAUAUCAAGCACUGACAAAUAUAAACCGCCGAGCGUUCAUGCCCAGGCCCCUUCAUGAAAUUAGGCUACAAGAUUUGCAUGAUUUUUGUGGUACCAUAAAGAGUAUAUGA